AAGGACUUGGCGGUGCUCCACAUCGACCUAGAGGAGCCUGUCCUAUAAUCGAUACCCCCCGUUUCACCCGACCAUUUUUAGCAACUUCAGCCUAUAUACCGCCGUCGCCAGCUUACCUCAUGAGAGACUGAAAGUAAGCAAAACAGUUACUUACUAACACGUCAGGUCAAGGUGUAGCACAUAAAAUGGAAGAGAUGGGCUACAUUUUCUACCCUAGAAAAUACGAACACUGCAGUGAAAUCUGCCCUUCAAGGAGGAUUUAGCUGUAAGACAGACAAGAGAAUCUGCCUAAACCCCGCUCUGGAGCGCGC
rnacentral:rRNA from 1 species